rnacentral:rRNA from 1 species
AUCCUACGGGAGGCAGCAGUGGGGAAUCUUGGACAAUGGGCGCAAGCCUGAUCCAGCCAUGCCGCGUGAGUGAUGAAGGCCUUAGGGUCGUAAAGCUCUUUCGCCAGAGAUGAUAAUGACAGUAUCUGGUAAAGAAACCCCGGCUAACUCCGUGCCAGCAGCCGCGGUAAUACGGAGGGGGUUAGCGUUGUUCGGAAUUACUGGGCGUAAAGCGUACGUAGGCGGAUUAGUCAGUCAGAGGUGAAAUCCCAGGGCUCAACCCUGGAACUGCCUUUGAUACUGCUAGUCUUGAGUUCGAGAGAGGUGAGUGGAAUUCCAAGUGUAGAGGUGAAAUUCGUAGAUAUUUGGAGGAACACCAGUGGCGAAGGCGGCUCACUGGCUCGAUACUGACGCUGAGGUACGAAAGUGUGGGGAGCAAACAGGAUUAGAUACCCUGGUAGUCCACACCGUAAACGAUGAAUGCCAGUCGUCGGGCAGUAUACUGUUCGGUGACACACCUAACGGAUUAAGCAUUCCGCCUGGGGAGUACGGUCGCAAGAUUAAAACUCAAAGGAAUUGACGGA